UACGUAUGGUGCAAGCGUUGUCCGGAAUUAUUGGGCGUAAAGAGCUCGUAGGCGGUCUGUCACGUCGGCUGUGAAAACCCGAGGCUCAACCUCGGGCCUGCAGUCGAUACGGGCAAACUAGAGUACUGCAGGGGAGACUGGAAUUCCUGGUGUAGCGGUGAAAUGCGCAGAUAUCAGGAGGAACACCGGUGGCGAAGGCGGGUCUCUGGGCAGUAACUGACGCUGAGGAGCGAAAGCGUGGGGAGCGAACAGG
rnacentral:rRNA from 1 species